GAUGGUGUAGCUGGGAUGUACGGUUUUCACUUCCAUUGCUUACGGGUGCAAGUGCUGAUAAUAACCGCCUGUGUCUUAGGAACCGCUGCACCAGAGGGAAACUGAGCGAGAGUCGUGAAACUUCUGUGGAUUGACAGAUGCAGAGGUUUUUGGAAAAUGUGGGAGCCCUCAUCUACAUACUGGGAGGCUGAGGAAGACCAGUCCGAAGAAGCCGAAGCUGACAGUGUUUCAACAACGCCAUACCGCUCAGGUGCUGUAUCAGUCAGUAUUUGCUAGAGAAACGCAUAACACAAGAUACACAAAUGUAUAUAAAGAUACAAGUUUGGCUCACAGUGGCCACCGCAGAGUUGGAUGAGGAAGCGUGCAGAGGGUGUCUGCACACUGGAGACUGAGUGACUUGGUUGAAGGUCUGGAGCUCACUGCAGCGUCCUGUGGGGGUUGGUGUCAGGAGGCUGAUGGUUGAAGGGUCUACGCCGGAAGCCGAACAGUCUGCAGUGGAAGCCAGGAGAUGACAUCCAAGGUGAAGACAAAGAUGAGCUCCUCUGAAGAAAUAGGAGCUGAUCCAUCCUUCUUCAUGUCCUCUUCAUACCAUCCGGGUGACAAGCUGCCCUGGGAUGGGUCUGUCACAGUCUAGGGUGUGGAAUUACUGAGCCGAUUUAAUUAAAUUUCUCUUACUCAAGUUGACACAAUCCAUCAGCCAUCACAGGUGCCAAUCCCAGAAUUAAAAUCCAGACAGUCUAACUCCUAGCUGCAUCUCAUUUAUAGCAUGUUGACUUCCUUGUUCCUGCUACAAAUGAGAUUAUUCCCUUUUUAAAGGGCAAGAGCUGUGCUUCUGGCUUUAUUUUAAUGAGGACUAGCACAGAGCCCGAUGCAGAGCUCAUUGAGAAAUGACACUUAACCACAUGUUUAGUGAAUAAGGGAGUCAGUGCAGUCACUUCCAGGCCUGCUCAGCGCUGUCUCCCUGCGAAGACUAGAUUAGCCUGCAGGGUAGGAGCUAGCAGGAGCCUCUUAGAGUAACACGACAGGACAUUGCGUGAGGAGCCACCUCAUGUCCUGAUGUCCUUCAAAAGUCCUGAGGCAGGAGCCCGGCUCUGUGUGAGCCAAUAGCUCCGGGGGUGGGGUGGGGUAUGGCUCUUCCCACCGGCAGGGCUGGUCCCUGUUGGCCUUCCUCUGUGGCAGGGUGAUCUGGAUUGAAUCCACAGAAAUUCUUGGAAAGAAGGGCCAUCAGCCUCCACCUAGGGUGUGAGGACAUCCAUCCUCCAGCAGGGAACUUGGCUCUCUAUGGCUGGAUUUGUGACCUGGGGCCAGUCACUUAACUGCUUCACAGUUUCUAAGCCUCAAUUUCCUUCCUGUGAAAUGAGAAUGCAAGUACUGUCCACUUCAUCUGGUCGUCGUAAGACUGACUGGGAGAAAGCGUGCCCAGCCCUCCUCAUAGCAUGCAGCGAGUGGCUGCUAUAGCGCUGGCCAUUUAAAGGCCGAGACAGGAGCAGGAACAAUAUCUGGUACUGCAGAGUGCUUUGCCAACCCAUACUGCAUCGCAAAGCAGCAGUGGUGAACAGCUGGAGUGGAUUUUCCGGAGUGUACCCUUUUUUCUCCUGCUUGCCAGUUCUGGGCCCUUCGUUCGUCCACACCUGUGUGAGGUCACUCCUGAGGAAGCCUUGACAAGGUGCUCAGACCAAGUCCUGGAGGACAAGGAUGGACUCCACCUGAUUGCCUGGAAGUGUGAGCUGUAGGAAGUGAGAUUUCCUGACCUGGGAGCUUCCACGCUCCCGCCUCUGUGCCACUGGGCAUCGAUGCCAGACACUGGGUUUUCACAGGCGCAGGCAAAGGGGCUCCAGGGGAGAGACACAGCUAGCAAACACAGGCAGAGGAGAACUGGGUUUUUAUUUACACAUAUUGGUUGUGGAUAACCAACAACUUAAUGGCCAGAUUAGUCCUCUAGCACUUCAGGGAACACGAACAUUUCAAAGCAAGAUUCUUAUUAACACUCAUAGUCCACCCACGGCAGCGGACAGGUUCCUGGCAGGAGAUUUAGGGGUUGGAGAGGCCUUGCUAACAUACCUCAAGCCAAGGGCUGGCUUUCCCUCGCUUACAGAGUAGACUAACGCUUUCACAAAGUGCCUGCUCUCUGAGUGUCCUCCCUCCCAGCCAGAAUGUUUGCAAUGCAAAGGCUUUUGCUCCUUCUGGGGAAGGAGUAGGGGCCACACCCCACGGGUAAUUGACUGUGCCUUACCCCAGCCGGGUGGGAGGCUGGGCAGGUGGUGCGGAGCACACAGCCCAGGGAGUACUACUUGUGGAGUGGUGCGUGAGGAAUGAAAGGCUGCCCUGGAGGCAACACCUGUUUGAAACAUCCCUGUUAUCUCAAGCCUUAACCUGUUCUUCAGCUCACCUUUCUUGCUUUUUCUGCCUUAUGUAUCUGUCUGGGAGAAACUGCCAUCUUUCUUUUGAAUUCCCCGUUAUUCACUUCUUUGCAUCUCACUGUGUUGUCCUCAUGUGCUUAUAGGUCUGCCUCUCCCAGUAGACUGUGAGGGCUUUACAGAUGAGGGAUGCACACGCCCUUCACUCCGGAGCAUGGUAGGAUAAUGAAUGGUGACUAAAUGCAUGAAUGAAUGAACCGGGUGGCUAAGCCCGAUGUCACCUUAAAUUACAUAUGUAAAUAUAUGUAUGCAUAUGAGGGUAUAUAUUUAAAAUGGUUUCUCUUGAUGACUUCCUGCUCUCAAGACAAAUCCAGCCCAGGAAACAAGUGAAUAAUUGGCUUGUAAAAAGUAAGAGUAAAUGAACACCAAAGGGACAAGCCUGAAGGAGA